rnacentral:rRNA from 1 species
UUACACAUGCAAGUCGAACGGACAGUCGGGGAAGUGCUUGCACUUCUGCCGGCGAGUGGCGAACGGGUGAGUAAUAUAUUGGAACGUACCGAGUAGCGGGGGAUAACUGUCCGAAAGGAUGGCUAAUACCGCAUACGCUCUGAGGAGGAAAGCUGGGGACCUUCGGGCCUGGCACUAUUCGAGCGGCCAAUAUCUGAUUAGCUAGUUGGUGGGGUAAGAGCCCACCAAGGCGACGAUCAGUAGCCGGGUCUGAGAGGAUGAUCCGCCACACUGGAACUGAGACACGGUCCAAACUCCUACGGGAGGCAGCAGUGGGGAAUUUUGGACAAUGGGGGCAACCCUGAUCCAGCCAUGCCGCGUGUAUGAAGAAGGCCUUCGGGUUGUAAAGUACUUUUGUNUGGGGAAGAAAAGCCUGGCGUUAAUAGCGGUGGGUCAUGACGGUACCCAAAGAAUAAGCACCGGCUAACUACGUGCCAGCAGCCGCGGUAAUACGUAGGGUGCAAGCGUUUAAUCGGAAUUACUGGGCGUAAAGCGAGC